AGUGAAUAGAUACCCCGGUAGUCCUGGCUGUAAACGAUGCAUGUUAGGUGUUGGUAGGGCUAUGAGCUGUAUCAGUGCCGUAGGGAAACCGUUAAACGUGCCGCUUGGGAAGUACGCUCGCAAGAGUGAAACUUAAAGGAAUUGGCGGGGGAGCACCACAAGGGGUGAAGCCUGCGGUUCAAUUGGACUCAACGCCGGGAAACUUACCGGGGGCGACAGCAGAAUGAAGGUCAGGCUGACGACCUUACCAGACAAGCUGAGCGGAGGUGCAUGGCCGUCGCCAGUUCGUGCCGUGAGGUAUCCUGUUAAGUCAGGCAACGAACGAGACCCACACACUUAGUUGCCAUCAAGAGCCUUCGGGUUUGUUGGGAACGCUAAGUGGACUGCCAUCGUACAGGUGGAGGAAGGGGUGGGCCACGGCAGGUCAGUAUGCCCCUAAUCCCCCGGGCCGACACGCGGGCUGCAAUGGUAUGGACAAU
rnacentral:rRNA from 1 species